rnacentral:rRNA from 2 species
UACAGAGGGUGCGAGCGUUGUCCGGAAUCACUGGGCGUAAAGGGCGCGUAGGUGGCGCGACAAGUCAGUGGUGAAAGCUCGACGCUUAACGUCGAGUCGGCCACUGAUACUGUUGGGCUUGAGCACUGUAGAGGCUAAUGGAAUUCCGGGUGUAGCGGUGGAAUGCGUAGAGAUCCGGAAGAACACCGGUGGCGAAGGCGGUUAGCUGGGCAGUUGCUGACACUGAGGCGCGACAGCGUGGGGAGCAAACAGG